rnacentral:rRNA from 1 species
CAAUAGCGUAUAUUAAAGUUGUUGCGGUUAAAAAGCUCGUAGUUGGAUUUCUGCCGAGGACGACCGGUCCGCCCUCUGGGUGUGUAUCUGGUUUGGCCUGGGCAUCUUCUUGGAGAACGUAGCUGCACUUGACUGUGUGGUGCGGUGUCCAGGACUUUUACUUUGAGGAAAUUAGAGUGUUUCAAGCAGGCACACGCCUUGAAUACAUUAGCAUGGAAUAAUAACAUAGGAUCUUUGUCCUAUUUUGUUGGUUUCUAGGGCUGAGAUAAUGAUUAAUAGGGAUAAUUGGGGGCAUCUGUAUCAACGCGUCAGAGGUGGAAUUCUUGGAUUGCGUUGCGACAAACUACUGCGAAAGCAUUUGCCAAGGAUGUUUUCAUUGA